rnacentral:rRNA from 1 species
GAUGAACGCUGGCGGCGUGCUUAACACAUGCAAGUCGAACGAUGAAGCCCAGCUUGCUGGGUGGAUUAGUGGCGAACGGGUGAGUAACACGUGAGUAACCUGCCCUUAACUCUGGGAUAAGCCUGGGAAACUGGGUCUAAUACCGGAUAGGAGCGUCCACCGCAGGGUGGGUGUUGGAAAGAUUUAUCGGUUUUGGAUGGACUCGCGGCCUAUCAGCUUGUUGGUGAGGUAAUGGCUCACCAAGGCGACGACGGGUAGCCGGCCUGAGAGGGUGACCGGCCACCCUGGGACUGAGACACGGCCCAGACUCCUACGGGAGGCAGCAGUGGGGAAUAUUGCACAAUGGGCGCAAGCCUGAUGCAGCGACGCCGCGUGAGGGAUGACGGCCUUCGGGUUGUAAACCUCUUUCAGUAGGGAAGAAGCGAAAGUGACGGUACCUGCAGAAGAAGCACCGGCUAACUACGUG